rnacentral:misc_RNA from 1 species
UUUCCGUAGGCGAACCUGCGGAAGGAUCAAUUCAGAGUUUGUACCUGUAUUCAGGUCAUCUCUCAUUCCUGUGAUAUCAUUUAAUGUCUAUAUUCAGAUUUCAGAGUCUUGAUAUCUGGAAGACUAUCUUCAAACUCCUAGAUCUCUUUUGGUCUACAAUUUGACAAUAUAAAACUUUCAACAACGGAUCUCUUGGUUCUGGCAUCGAUGAAGAACGCAGC